rnacentral:lncRNA from 1 species
CGGAACUUCCCCCUUCAGCGUUAGACCUGCGGUUUCCUCUCCAGUAUACACUGUGUCUAGCGUCACAAGAGAUUAAAAGGAGAAGUUUCAGGGCAAGACAUUUCAAGGUUAGACUAUACAUCUUUAGUAUGUUGAAAUAAUUUGUGUCUAGGAAGAAAUGUGUUUAGAUUUUGAAUGAUGAGGAACUGAUGAGACGAGGUUCAUAUUUAUAAGUAGAGAAAACACUGUUCCACAUAUGAGUUAUGAAACUAUGAAACAGUUAAACAGUUAGAUGAGGACAAAAAGCUUUGGAACUCUCUUCCUCUUCAAGCAUGUUCUACUCAUUUGCUAUAUUUUAAUUUAAUUGGAAAAUGAGCAAAAAAGCUGAUGGGGGUUUACUUGCUUGAUCAGCUUUUUCUAUUGACCGCAUCGUCACACUUUACUUGCGAUUUGGCUUUGAUUUGUUCUUGAACAAUGCGUAUUACUCAGAGUUCUUUAAUAUCAUUUAGCUUUGAUUGUUCAUGAAUAAUGCAGUGUUACUUAGAAUUUGUUUGUGUCGAUCAUUACUAACAUCUUAAUGUUCCUCUAGCAUUAAUUAGAAGUUCCAUUGAAUGGCUAUGAGGUGUCUGUGCAGUACUUUAGUUGCUAGAAACAUCUGAUCAACUUUCGUUUAUACUUUAUAACAUAACACGGGUCUUUUCAGGUACUGAGCUGGUCUUGGUAAGCUCUUCGGUUAACACAAAAACCAAAAUCUAUUUAUCAGGCAAAGGAUUAUUAAAGAGUCAAGAAAAGUUGCCAUACAAUCACAGGCAUGUCACGUAGACCUCAUCAUAAGAUAAUCUUUUUUUUUUAUUUUGAAUUCCUUAAAUUAAGCAGCGUAAUUUAGGUUAAAUCUGUGGUGUUCAUUGAAUCUUCUCAAAUGCUAUAUAAAAUCUAUUUAUCAUUUUUUCUUCGAACUCAUGAACAUUCAAAGGUCCAUAUUAGUUGCACGAGAAUAGGAUGCUCAGCACGGUUUGAUUAUGGUAUAUUAGUAAGAUUCAAAGUUAUGUAUUGAACUCGUGAUGAAGAUACACUUUGCAUGCAGCCCCAGGUGGAAGGAAGAAUAUAGACUUGUAGAGUAUAGACUAGCACGUUGCUACAUGUAUGGAUCCCAUGCGUUGACUUUGACAAAACUUUGUUGAAUUAUUCUAUAUCUCUUGAUCUUGAAGAGCCUAUUGGUCCCCAAAUUCACUGAAAUGCUGUUACUAUUUUAUUAAUUGUACCUUGCUUUGGCUGUUGGAAGUGUGAUUAUAUAUAAGAAAUUAAAUUUCAAGUGAUUCCAUGUCGUGUAACUGAUUUCUUGUACACUUUUUUAUUAUCUUCGACUAUAUUAGGUGUGAGGUAGGUGGUGCAUGUUGCAGUUUCUAUACGAUUAGAGAUGUAUUUUUGUUGUUGGUUUAGUUAUUUUAUCAUUUUGAUAUA